rnacentral:rRNA from 1 species
ACGGUACCGGCAUAAGAAGCACCGGCUAACUACGUGCCAGCAGCCGCGGUAAUACGUAGGGUGCGAGCGUUAAUCGGAAUUACUGGGCGUAAAGCGUGCGCAGGCGGUUUUGUAAGACAGGCGUGAAAUCCCCGGGCUCAACCUGGGAACUGCGUUUGUGACUGCAAGGCUAGAGUACGGCAGAGGGGGGUGGAAUUCCACGUGUAGCAGUGAAAUGCGUAGAGAUGUGGAGGAACACCAAUGGCGAAGGCAGCCCCCUGGGUCGAUACUGACGCUCAUGCACGAAAGCGUGGGUAGCAAACAGGAUUAGAUACCCUGGUAGUCCACGCCCUAAACGAUGUCAACUAGGUGUUGGGUGGGUAAAACCAUUUAGUACCGGAGCUAACGCGUGAAGUUGACCGCCUGGGGAGUACGGCCGCAAGGUUAAAACUCAAAGGAAUUGACGGGGACCCGCACAAGCGGUGGAUGAUGUGGAUU